rnacentral:rRNA from 1 species
UACGUAGGGUGCAAGCGUUGUCCGGAAUUAUUGGGCGUAAAGAGCUCGUAGGCGGUCUGUCGCGUCGGCUGUGAAAACCCGGGGCUCAACCCCGGGCCUGCAGUCGAUACGGGCAGACUAGAGUGUGGUAGGGGAGACUGGAAUUCCUGGUGUAGCGGUGGAAUGCGCAGAUAUCAGGAGGAACACCGAUGGCGAAGGCAGGUCUCUGGGCCAUUACUGACACUGAGAAGCGAAAGCAUGGGGAGCGAACAGG